rnacentral:rRNA from 1 species
AUGACGUCAAGUCCUCAUGGCCUUUAUGACCAGGGCUACACACGUACUACAAUGGCCGGUACAAAGGGCAGCGACACAGCGGAUGUGAAGCCAAUCCCGAAAAGCCGGUCUCAGUCCGGAUUGGAGUCUGCAACUCGACUCCAUGAAGUUGGAAUCGCUAGUAAUCGCGGAUCAGCACGCCGCGGUGAAUACCGGUUCCCGGGCCUU